rnacentral:rRNA from 1 species
UACGAAGGGGGCUAGCGUUGCUCGGAUUUACUGGGCGUAAAGGGUGUGUAGGCGGUUCUUUAAGUUUGGUGUGAAAUCUCCCGGCUCAACCGGGAGGGUGCGCCGAAUACUGAGGAACUAGAGUACGGGAGAGGAAAGUGGAAUUCCUGGUGCAGCGGUGAAAUGCGUAGAUAUCAGGAGGAACACCGGUGGUGUAGACGGCUUUCUGGACCGUAACUGACGCUGAGGAGCGAAAGCAUGGGGAGCAAACAGG